rnacentral:rRNA from 1 species
CAUGAGUUCAAUCGUAUCCGAGAGGGAGUGGUUGCUCAUGACCCAUACUUCGAGUGCAAGAAGGAUGCCCUUGGCAAGCUUGGAUUCUCCUCUUACCAGAAAUGCACCGCGGCCAUCCGCAUGCUUGCAUAUGGAAUUCCAGGCGAUCUGGUGGAUGAGUAUGUGCGUAUGAGUGAGACAACAUGUCUGAUGUCAAUGUACAAGUUUUGCCAGGCUGUGAUCGAGGUGUUUGGCCCAGAGUACUUGAGGCAGCCAACUGCAGCUGAUACAGAGAGAUUAUUGGCGACCAACGCAGCUAGAGGCUUUCCAAGCAUGCUUGGCAGCAUAGAUUGUAUGCACUGGGAGUGGAAGAACUGUCCAUUUGCUUGGCAGGGCCAGUACAAGGGGCAUGUCAACGCGUGCACUAUCAUAUUAGAAGCGGUGGCUUCGCAGGAUCUUUGGAUAUGGCAUUCUUUCUUCGGCAUGGUAGGUUCUCACAAUGAUAUCAACGUGCUGCAACGUUCUCCAGUCUUCGCAAGGCUUGCAGAAGGCCACUCCCCACCUGUCAACUUUGAGAUCAACGGCCACCAGUACAACAAGGGAUACUAUCUAGCUGAUGGUAUAUAUCCUCAGUGGUCAACUUUUGUGAAGACAAUCUCGAAACCCCAAGGUGAGAAGAGAAAGAGAUUUGCCCAAAUGCAAGAGAAUGCUAGAAAGGAUGUGGAACGUCCUUUUGGUGUGCUUCAAUCCCGGUGCGGUAUCGUUCGAAACCCUGCACUGUCAUGGGAUGAAAGAAAGCUUUGGGAGGUGAUGACUGCUUGUGUGAUCAUGCACAACAUGAUCGUCGAGGACGAGCGUGAUGAGAGUAUCUUCGACCAAGGAUUUGAU